CCUACGGGAUGCACCAGUGGGGAAUAUUGCACAAUGGGCGAAAGCCUGAUGCAGCGACGCCGCGUGAGGGAUGACGGCCUUCGGGUUGUAAACCUCUUUCAGCAGGGACGAAGCGCGAGUGACGGUACCUGCAGAAGAAGCACCGGCUAACUACGUGCCAGCAGCCGCGGUAAUACGUAGGGUGCGAGCGUUGUCCGGAAUUAUUGGGCGUAAAGAGCUCGUAGGCGGUUUGUCGCGUCGGCCGUGAAAACUUGGGGCUUAACCCCGAGCCUGCGGUCGAUACGGGCAGACUUGAGUUCGGCAGGGGAGACUGGAAUUCCUGGUGUAGCGGUGAAAUGCGCAGAUAUCAGGAGGAACACCGGUGGCGAAGGCGGGUCUCUGGGCCGAUACUGACGCUGAGGGGCGAAAGCGUGGGGAGCGAACAGGAUUAGAUACCCUUGUAGUC
rnacentral:rRNA from 1 species